UUUGUCAGACUCAGAGCAGCUGAGUGACAGAGUGUCAGUGCUGGAUGUGAGGAUGAGGUACACUUUGAUCUGUGUGCUGGGAUUAUUCUUGAUGAAUACACUCUUCUACGGACACUCUGAAGGGCAGGGUGAUGACCCAGCAGAAGACACUGGUGAGUCUGAUGUGGAGAAAGGAUCAUCUGCAGGUGCAGUCAAUUACAACAGUCAUUACAACUUCAUUCAGUAUUACACUGGAGGUGAUUACAGGUCGAC